UACGAAGGGGGCUAGCGUUGCUCGGAAUCACUGGGCGUAAAGGGUGCGUAGGCGGGUCUUUAAGUCAGGAGUUAAAUCCUGGAGCUCAACUCCAGAACUGCCUUUGAUACUGAAGAUCUUGAGUUCGGGAGAGGUGAGUGGAACUGCGAGUGUAGAGGUGAAAUUCGUAGAUAUUCGCAAGAACACCAGUGGCGAAGGCGGCUCACUGGCCCGAUACUGACGCUGAGGCACGAAAGCGUGGGGAGCAAACGGG
rnacentral:rRNA from 1 species